UACUAUGACAUACAAGUUGCUCAUAUAAAGAAGCUGCCACCUGCUGUCUUCCAAAAAUACUAUGACAUACAAGCUGCUCAAAUAAAGAAGCUGCCACUUGCUGUCUUCCAAAAAAAAUACUAUGACAUACAAGCUGCUCAAAUAAAGAAGCUGCCACUUGCUGUCUUUCAAAAAUACUAUGACAUACAAGCUGCUAAAAUAAAGAAGCUGCCACUUGCUGUCUUCCAAAAAUACUAUGACAUACAAGUUGCUCAUAUAAAGAAGCUGCCACCUGCUGUCUUCCAAAAAUACUAUGACAUACAAGCUGCUCAAAUAAAGAAGCUGCCACUUGCUGUCUUCCAAAAAAAAUACUAUGACAUACAAGCUGCUCAAAUAAAGAAGCUGCCACUUGCUGUAUUCCAGAAAAAUAAUAACGUACAAGUUUCUCAUGAAGAGACUGUCGCUUGCCGUUUUCCAAAAAUAAUAACGUACAAGUUGCUCAUGAAGAGACUGCUGCUUGUCAUUUUCCAAAUAAUAAUAACGUACAAGUUGCUCAUGAAGAGACCGCCGCUUGUCGUUUUCCAAAUAAUAAUAACGUACAAGUUGCUCAUGAAGAGACCGUCGCUUGUCGUUUUCCAAAUAAUAAUAACGUACCAGUUGCUCAUGAAGAGACUGCCGCUUAUCGUUUUCUAA